AAUACACGAGUGGCGCACGGGUGAGUAACACGUGGAUAUCUGCCUUUUGGUUCGGGAUAACCCUGGGAAACUAGGGCUAAUACCGAAUGGUUCCUACGGGAUAAAGAUUUAUCGCCAAAAGAUGAGUCCGCGUCCGAUUAGCUAGUUGGUGAGGUAAUGGCUCACCAAGGCGACGAUCGGUAGCUGGUCUGAGAGGACGAUCAGCCACACUGGGACUGAGACACGGCCCAGACUCCUACGGGAGGCAGCAGUGGGGAAUAUUGGACAAUGGGGGCAACCCUGAUCCAGCCAUGCCGCGUGAGUGAUGAAGGCCUUCGGGUUGUAAAGCUCUUUUGGCGGGGACGAUGAUGACGGUACCCGCAGAAUAAGCCCCGGCUAACUUCGUGCCAGCAGCCGCGGUAAGACGAAGGGGGCUAGCGUUGUUCGGAAUUACUGGGCGUAAAGCGCGUGUAGGCGGUUAUUCAAGUCAGGUGUGAAAGCCUUGAGCUUAACUCAAGAAAUGCACUUGAUACUGGAUGACUAGAGGACCGGAGAGGAUAGUGGAAUUCCCAGUGUAGUGGUGAAAUACGUAGAGAUUGGGAAGAACACCAGUGGCGAAGGCGGCUAUCUGGACGGUUCUGACG
rnacentral:rRNA from 1 species